rnacentral:rRNA from 1 species
CAGUAGCCGCGGUAAUACGAGGGGAGCUAGCGUUAUUCGGAAUUACUGGGCGUAAAGCGCACGUAGGCGGCUUUGUAAGUUAGAGGUGAAAGCCCAGAGCUCAACUCUGGAAUUGCCUUUAAGACUGCAUCGCUUGAAUCCAGGAGAGGUGAGUGGAAUUCCGAGUGUAGAGGUGAAAUUCGUAGAUAUUCGGAAGAACACCAGUGGCGAAGGCGGCUCACUGGACUGGUAUUGACGCUGGGGUGCGAAAGCGUGGGGAGCAAACAGGAUUAGAUACCCCCGUAGUCCCUGUCUCUUAUAC